rnacentral:rRNA from 1 species
GACGAACGCUGGCGGCGUGCCUAAUACAUGCAAGUCGAACGAGAGCGCCCGGUGCUUGCCCUGGUCAAUCUAGUGGCGAACGGGUGAGUAACACGUGGGUAACCUGCCCAUCAGAGGGGGAUAACAUCCGGAAACGGAUGCUAAAACCGCAUAGGUCUUCGAACCGCAUGGUUUGAAGAGGAAAAGAGGCGCAAGCUUCUGCUGAUGGAUGGACCCGCGGUGCAUUAGCUAGUUGGUGAGGUAACGGCUCACCAAGGCCGUGAUGCAUAGCCGACCUGAGAGGGUGAUCGGCCACAUUGGGACUGAGACACGGCCCAAACUCCUACGGGAGGCAGCAGUAGGGAAUCUUCCGCAAUGGACGCAAGUCUGACGGAGCAACGCCGCGUGAGUGAAGAAGGUUUUCGGAUCGUAAAACUCUGUUGUUAGAGAAGAACAAGUGCUAGGGUAACUGUUAGCGCCUUGACGGUAGCUAACCAGAAAGCCACGGCUAACUACGUG